UUGUAGAUCUUUUGGUACCUAUAGGAACUAAUCUGUGUUUUACAAGACCACUUUGGUUUCAGAGACUAAAGCUAAAGAAGUUUGUUCUGCGCUGUGAUUAGCAACUUUCUCAUUGUAAUAAGAAUAGAGAUGGCAUUCAGUAAGGGUGCAAAUUUACAUCUUCUUUCACCUUUCCCCUGGGACCCAUCCACUUAAAGAGGGAAAGAACUGAAGGAAGACAUGUCUGGAAAACCAUUUUUUCUCCCAGUGAACAUCUAAUAGUUACUCCUAAAGCCAAAAGAUUUCAGUCAAGCCUUUCUGUGUAUAUAUGCCCCUACCUUAAUUGAAAUUGAUAUUAACGCAGUGUUACCAUAAUUCCUUGAAAUGAGGACUAACAUCAAUGGGUUCAAGCAGGGGAAAGGAAAUCUGCCCUAGAAAGAGAGCGAGCCAAGCCAUUUUCGUUUCUGAUUCAUUACCUGGUUGGAGGAAGGAAGGAAUUACUGGCAGGAAUAAAUAAAUCAUCUGUUGUUUUAUUUUGGAGUGGAGAUUUUUUUUUUUCUUUUAAGGAUAUUUCUUUACAAAUACCCUCAUCAGUGUGCAAAUGUGUUAUAUGUUUUUAUAUAUUAUAACAAAAGAUUGGAGUUCCCGUUGUGGCACAGUGGUUAACAAAUCCUACUAGGAACCAUGAGGUUGCAGGUUCGAUUCCUGGCCUUGCUCAUGGGUUAAGGAUCUGGCAUUGCCAUGAGCUGUGGUGUAGGUUGCAGACAGGGCUCUGAUCCAGAGUUGCUGUAGCUGUGAGUAGGCAGCAGGUGGAGCUCUCAUUAGACCACUAGCCUGGGAACUUCCAUAUACCAUGGGUGUGGCCCUAAAAAGGCAACAAAAAGAAAAAAUAAAGCCAAAAAAGGGGUGAGGGAGCUGUACCAUGAACAGAAGUUCAGGGUAGAUUUUAUUAAGUAAGAAAAAAUAAAAUUCUUUGUAAUUGUCAUAUCUAUAACACUGAUGCUGAUGAAAAAUCAUACAUUUCUUUAUGGCAGGACAAUUAAACUAAGGAUGGAAAUACAUAUAACAUGCCUCCUCUCUGCGCGGGGUGGGGUGGGGGAGGUGCUUCCCCUGUGUGCAGGUGCGCUUAUGUUACAUAGUAACCAGGCCUCCUCAGGGCAGGAGGGUGUAAUCAACCUUUGGAAAGAAUGGUCCCUGUCUUCUGUUCACCAUCUUAAUGUUAAGAUUAUUUUUUCGGAGUUCCCGUCGUGGCGCAGUGGUUAACGAAUCCGACUAGGAACCAUGAGGUUGCGGGUUCGGUCCCUGCCCUUGCUCAGUGGGUUAACGAUCCGGCAUUGCCAUGAGCUGUGGUGUAGGUUGCAGACGUGGCUCGGAUCCCACGUUGCUGUGGCUCUGGCGUAGGCCGGUGGCUACAGCUCCGAUUCGACCCCUAGCCUGGGAACCUCCAUAUGCCACGGGAGCGGCCCAAAGAAAUAGCAACAACAACAAAAGACAAAAAGACAAAAGACAAAAAAAAAAAAAAAAAAGAUUAUUUUUUCUUGUCCGGUACAAGAGGUCACAUUGACCUAAAGUCUCACUGUAUAAAGCUUACUUGAACAAAACAUCUCUGAUGAAUUUUAUGUAUAAUGUUAACCUGUCUAUAUGAUACAUAAUUCUUUGCCUCAAAAAUGCAUAAAACUGCAUCCAUUUUUAACUCCUGACCAGUGAAACCUUCAGAGCUUCUGAGUGUCUGUCUCCCAGGUUAUAAUCCUCAGUUUGGCUCAAACAUUUUUCUCUUUUUUUUCUUCUUAGCUUGCUUGUUAAUUGGAUUCUCACUGACAAUACAAAAUAUGUAUUAUAUAAACAUUAAAAGUGGCUAACUUUAAAAAAAAUUUUUAUGGCCACCUAUGGAAGUUCCCAGGCUAGGGGUCAAAUCUGAGCUACAGCUGUAGGCCUACAACACAGCCAUAGCAACAUCAGAUCCAAGCCACACCCACAAACUUGUCACAGAUUGUGACAACGCCAGAUGCUUCACCCACUGAGUGAGGCCAGGGAUCAAACCUGCAUCCUCACAAGCAUAUGUUGGGUUCUUAAACUGCUGAGCCACAGCAAGAACUCUAUAAGUGGCUAUGCCACAGCUGUGGCAAUGCUGGGUCCUUAACCCCCUGUGCCACAGUGAGAGCUCCAGUUCUAACAAGUUUUUGUUAUAUCUUCAAGAGCUGUGCCAUCCUUUUAAAAGUUGUCCCCUGCCCCCUCCCCUCCUGUCUCAAUAUUGUGUUUACCAGUUGUUUAGAUUAUUAUGAGGAGGGAGAUUACAGAAAGCUUCCUGUUCUUUUUAUUUUUUUUUUAGUGAUUUUUUUUUUUUUUCCAUUAUAGCUGGUUUACAGUGUUAUGCCAAUCUUCUACUGUAUGGCAAGGUGACCCAGUCACACAUACAUAUAUACAUUCUUUUUUUCACAUAAACUUCCUGUUCUAAAUCAACAUUUCUGUAAUGUAUGAACAUUUACCACAUGUGUUAUUUAUUCAUAAAAGGUGAAAUUAUAAAAACCAACUACAGGCAUUUGUAGCAACAUGGAUGGACCUAGAAAUUAUCAUGCUAAGUGAAGUCAGUCAGACAAUGAGACACCAACACCAAAUGCUAUCACUUACCUGUGGCAUCUAAAAAAAGGACACAAUGAACUUCUUUGCAGAACAGAUACUGACUCACAGACUUUGCAAAACUUAUGGUUUUCAAAUGAGACAGGUUGGGGUGUGGGGGGGAUGCACUGAGGGUUUGGGAUGGACAUGCUAUUAAAAUUUGGCUGUGAUGAUUGUUGUAC
rnacentral:lncRNA from 1 species